GAUGAACGCUGGCGGCGUGCCUAAUACAUGCAAGUCGAGCGAACAGACGAGGAGCUUGCUCCUCUGACGUUAGCGGCGGACGGGUGAGUAACACGUGGAUAACCUACCUAUAAGACUGGGAUAACUUCGGGAAACCGGAGCUAAUACCGGAUAAUAUAUUGAACCGCAUGGUUCAAUAGUGAAAGACGGUUUUGCUGUCACUUAUAGAUGGAUCCGCGCCGCAUUAGCUAGUUGGUAAGGUAACGGCUUACCAAGGCGACGAUGCGUAGCCGACCUGAGAGGGUGAUCGGCCACCCUGGAACUGAGACACGGUCCAGACUCCUACGGGAGGCAGCAGUAGGGAAUCUUCCGCAAUGGGCGAAAGCCUGACGGAGCCACGCCGCGUGAGUGAUGAAGGUCUUCGGAUCGUAAAACUCUGUUAUUAGGGAAGAACAAAUGUGUAAGUAACUAUGCACGUCUUGACGGUACCUAAUCAGAAAGCCACGGCUAACUACGUG
rnacentral:rRNA from 1 species